rnacentral:rRNA from 1 species
UACAGAGGGUGCGAGCGUUAAUCGGAAUUACUGGGCGUAAAGGGCGCGUAGGCGGCCAUUCAAGUCGGAGGUGAAAGCCCAGGGCUCAACCCUGGAAUUGCCUUCGAUACUGUUUGGCUAGAGACCGGAAGAGGUAAGUGGAACUGCGAGUGUAGAGGUGAAAUUCGUAGAUAUUCGCAAGAACACCAGUGGCGAAGGCGGCUUACUGGUCCGGUUCUGACGCUGAGGCGCGAAAGCGUGGGGAGCAAACAGG